rnacentral:rRNA from 1 species
GGUUGAAGGUUGGGUAACACUAACUGGAGGACCGAACCGACUAAUGUUGAAAAAUUAGCGGAUGACUUGUGGCUGGGGGUGAAAGGCCAAUCAAACCGGGAGAUAGCUGGUUCUCCCCGAAAGCUAUUUAGGUAGCGCCUCGUGAAUUCAUCUCCGGGGGUAGAGCACUGUUUCGGCAAGGGGGUCAUCCCGACUUACCAACCCGAUGCAAACUGCGAAUACCGGAGAAUGUUAUCACGGGAGACACACGGCGGGUGCUAACGUCCGUCGUGAAGAGGGAAACAACCCAGACCGCCAGCUAAGGUCCCAAAGUCAUGGUUAAGUGGGAAACGAUGUGGGAAGGCCCAGACAGCCAGGAUGUUGGCUUAGAAGCAGCCAUCAUUUAAAGAAAGCGUAAUAGCUCACUGGUCGAGUCGGCCUGCGCGGAAGAUGUAACGGGGCUAAACCAUGCACCGAAGCUGCGGCAGCGACGCUUAUGCGUUGUUGGGUAGGGGAGCGUUCUGUAAGCCUGCGAAGGUGUGCUGUGAGGCAUGCUGGAGGUAUCAGAAGUGCGAAUGCUGACAUAAGUAACGAUAAAGCGGGUGAAAAGCCCGCUCGCCGGAAGACCAAGGGUUCCUGUCCAACGUUAAUCGGGGCAGGGUGAGUCGACCCCUAAGGCGAGGCCGAAAGGCGUAGUCGAUGGGAAACAGGUUAAUAUUCCUGUACUUGGUGUUACUGCGAAGGGGGGACGGAGAAGGCUAUGUUGGCCGGGCGACGGUUGUCCCGGUUUAAGCGUGUAGGCUGGUUUUCCAGGCAAAUCCGGAAAAUCAAGGCUGAGGCGUGAUGACGAGGCACUACGGUGCUGAAGCAACAAAUGCCCUGCUUCCAGGAAAAGCCUCUAAGCAUCAGGUAACAUCAAAUCGUACCCCAAACCGACACAGGUGGUCAGGUAGAGAAUACCAAGGCGCUUGAGAGAACUCGGGUGAAGGAACUAGGCAAAAUGGUGCCGUAACUUCGGGAGAAGGCACGCUGAUAUGUAGGUGAGGUCCCUCGCGGAUGGAGCUGAAAUCAGUCGAAGAUACCAGCUGGCUGCAACUGUUUAUUAAAAACACAGCACUGUGCAAACACGAAAGUGGACGUAUACGGUGUGACGCCUGCCCGGUGCCGGAAGGUUAAUUGAUGGGGUUAGCGCAAGCGAAGCUCUUGAUCGAAGCCCCGGUAAACGGCGGCCGUAACUAUAACGGUCCUAAGGUAGCGAAAUUCCUUGUCGGGUAAGUUCCGACCUGCACGAAUGGCGUAAUGAUGGCCAGGCUGUCUCCACCCGAGACUCAGUGAAAUUGAACUCGCUGUGAAGAUGCAGUGUACCCGCGGCAAGACGGAAAGACCCCGUGAACCUUUACUAUAGCUUGACACUGAACAUUGAGCCUUGAUGUGUAGGAUAGGUGGGAGGCUUUGAAGUGUGGACGCCAGUCUGCAUGGAGCCGACCUUGAAAUACCACCCUUUAAUGUUUGAUGUUCUAACGUUGACCCGUAAUCCGGGUUGCGGACAGUGUCUGGUGGGUAGUUUGACUGGGGCGGUCUCCUCCUAAAGAGUAACGGAGGAGCACGAAGGUUGGCUAAUCCUGGUCGGACAUCAGGAGGUUAGUGCAAUGGCAUAAGCCAGCUUGACUGCGAGCGUGACGGCGCGAGCAGGUGCGAAAGCAGGUCAUAGUGAUCCGGUGGUUCUGAAUGGAAGGGCCAUCGCUCAACGGAUAAAAGGUACUCCGGGGAUAACAGGCUGAUACCGCCCAAGAGUUCAUAUCGACGGCGGUGUUU